rnacentral:rRNA from 1 species
UACGGAGGAUGCGAGCGUUAUCCGGAUUUAUUGGGUUUAAGGGGUGCGCAGGCGGAUUUUUAAGUCAGCGGUCAAAUCGUGGGGCUCAACCCCAUCCAGCCGUUGAAACUGGGGAUCUAGAGUGUGCGAGAGGUAUGCGGAAUGCGUGGUGUAGCGGUGAAAUGCAUAGAUAUCACGCAGAACCCCGAUUGCGAAGGCAGCAUACCGGUGCACAACUGACGCUCAGGCACGAAAGCGUGGGUAUCGAACAGG